rnacentral:tRNA from 1 species
AGUAAAAUGCCUGAAUAAAGGGUUAUCUUGAUAGGAUAAAAUAUGUAUAUUUAUACUUUUACUA